CAGCUCAGUGACAGAGCAUCUGCCUUGCAUGCUUCAGAAGGAACCAGGUUCAACCCCUGCAGGGGAAAGC